rnacentral:rRNA from 1 species
AUUGAACGCUGGCGGCAGGCCUAACACAUGCAAGUCGAACGAGUGGCGGACGGGUGGGUAAUGUCUGGGACACUGCCUGAUGGAGGGGGAUCACUACUGGACACGGUAGCUAAUACCGCAUACCCGAAGAUGUGCCCAGAUGGGAUUAGCUUGUUGGUGGGGUAACGGCUCACCAAGGCGACGAUCCCUAGCUGGUCUGAUAGGAUGACCAGCCACACUGGAACUGAGAAACGGUCCAGACUCCUACGGGAGGAAGCAGUGGGGAAUAUUGCACAAUGGGCGAAAGCCUGAUGCAGCCAUGCCGCGUGUAUGAAGAAGGCCUUCGGGUUGUAAAGUACUUUCAGCGGGGAGGCGUUACCCGCAGAAGAAGCACCGGCUAACUCCGUGCCAGCAGCCGCGGUAAUUC